rnacentral:rRNA from 1 species
UACGUAGGGCGCAAGCGUUGUCCGGAAUUAUUGGGCGUAAAGAGCUCGUAGGCGGCCUGCUGCGUCCGCUGUGAAAUCCCGGGGCUUAACCCCGGGCUUGCAGUGGAUACGGGCAGGCUGGAGGCAGGCAGGGGAGAACGGAAUUCCCGGUGUAGCGGUGAAAUGCGCAGAUAUCGGGAGGAACACCAGUGGCGAAGGCGAUCACCUGGGGUUGUUCUGACGCUGAGGAGCGAAAGCUAGGGGAGCAAACGGG